CGGAGACGUGGGUGAGUGGCUGAAACCAGCGGUUUGCUAAACCGUCGUAGCCUUAAGGGGCUACCGAGGGUUCGAAUCCCUCCGUCUCCGCCAC
rnacentral:tRNA from 1 species